UUAGUGGCGGACGGGUGAGUAACGCGUGGAAAACCUGCCGUAUACUGGGGGAUAACACUUAGAAAUAGGUGCUAAUACCGCAUAAGCGCACAGCUUCGCAUGAAGCGGUGUGAAAAACUCCGGUGGUAUACGAUGGUUCCGCGUCUGAUUAGCUAGUUGGUGGGGUAAUGGCCUACCAAGGCAACGAUCAGUAGCCGGCCUGAGAGGGUGAACGGCCACAUUGGGACUGAGACACGGCCCAAACUCCUACGGAAGGCAGCAG
rnacentral:rRNA from 1 species